UCCCUGUAGGCUGUAUCUCGUUGUUUGCCUGAAAAUCCAUGGAGGAAAUUUUCACAAUGUUUGCGGCAAUGCUGUCAGCCAUAUUCACUCUCAUGGUCGACUCGUUUCCCAUGGGUUGUUGUAAGAAACGUAGUUCCCAGCUUAAUGUGUCAGCCAGUACUAAUCACGAACGUGCUAAAGAAGGUCACGGUGCGCAAAUGGGGUGAUCGUUGAAAGUGGACAGCAAUUGUUAUGCUAACAUGUUGUGACUUAGGCAGGAUACAAGAUGAAGAUGAAAGCUACAGUGGUGUUCUUUUCAUGCACAACUCUUCUUGGCAUUGCUCUACGGAUAGGCCUCUCCAGAGUGUACGGUGAGAGACUAAUCCCAAUCCCACAGCUCUGAUCGUGGUAGGACUAUUGAACGCUUCAUCAGCUGGCCUGCUCAAAUAUGUGGCAUUGGUGGAUUUGCUAGCAUCUGAUUUUUUGAGCCCUUAAUUGCAAGGCAACAUAAAACUUCAGUUAUGGGCUUAUGCGGCAGUUCUCUCAGGUGCUGGAGGCAUGUCCUUGUUGGCUAAAUGGGCCUAGAAAACUGCAUUUGCAAAGUCAUACCCUGCUGUUAGUGGUGUUAUUUAGGAAUGUAAAUUCAAACUGUUAAACUCGAUAACCGUGAAUAACCAUCCAAAUGAAAUGGAUUUGGGAAUGAAAAUUUGAUUAUAUUUCAGAUA